CCUGACUCUGCUCCGCAAUGGCGGCCGGUCGCCGGGCCCCGCUCCCCGGCCUGAGCCCCGUGAGGGGACAGAGCGCUGGCACAGCCGCCUCGGCCCGGGCCACCCUGUCCCUGCCCGGGCCCGCGUCCCCCGGAGCGCGCCCUGCAGCGCAGAACGCGGCCUCGGAGCCAGGAGCGGGGCCAAUGCCCUCGGCUCGGCAGCGGCGGCGGGAGGCGGCGGGCGGUGCCCUCAGGGCAGCAAAAAUCAUCAAACUCCUCCCAUCUUUGCCAAAAGCUUUGGUGUUUGGGCAGCCAAAGGCAAGAGGCUUCAGCGCCAGGGCUCUGCACUGGAGGGCUCUGCUCCUGCCCACGCUGUGGGUGAGCCAGGGCUGGCACAGGGAAUGGUGCAGGUGCUGGUCUGGCAGUGGAGCUGCUGCCCUUUGGAGCCAUUUUAAAGGCUGUCCUUGCUGGAGCACCCUGGUCCCUGCCAUCCCCUGGGACACAGAGGGAGCCCUGUCCCAAGUGGCCUUGGCACCUUGGCAGGGAUGUGGCAGCAGCCCCAGAGCAGCUGGAGGAGAAAACCUCCCAGCAGAGACAGAUUGCAGUGGAGGCCAGAGUUGUGUUUGGAGCAGGGAGUGCUGAGAGCUGAGUCUGCCUGUGCUGCCACAGCCUGGGAACAGCCUGGGAACAGCCUGGGAAAGGGAUUGGGGCAAUUUCUGAUGCCCCAGUGAGAAGAACACAAACUCAGCCAUUCAGCCUGACAGGCCCCUCCACCAGAGCUCAGCACACAUCCUCAGAGGGAAGUCCAGCAUCCAAAGGGAAAAAAACCCAGAAGAAAAAGCAGCCAGCAGGGAAGGGACAAGAGGAUCCCUGUGGGAUGAGGCUGGAGAGAGCGAGCAGAGGAGCAGCCUCAGGCUGGAGAAGGGCAAAGGGACCAACGUGGUGUCACCAGGGCACCUGUGAGGAGCAGAAUGGACACUUGGAGGCCACAUGGAGGAAAGGGAUGCACAUCCCUGUCUUCAGCACACCUCCAGUGGGACCCACCUGUGAAAGCUCUCCACCACUUGUGCACUUGCAGCUGGAUCCCUGAAAAACUCCAAACUGCAUCCCACUGAUUUUCAGGUAUCUCUGAGGGCUCCUGCCUGGGAUUUAAUAUCUGUGGGGGAAGAUUGCCUUGGCUUCAGUGCUGCUGAUGGAUGGUGGCCUCAGGCUGGGCAGGAGGGAAGGAUUUGGGGUGGCUGGGACAGAGCCAGCAGCUGUGUGGGAGCUCUGAACCGGGAAUUGCUGUGUGAGCCCCUGUGCAAACGGGCCGUGCCUCCAUUCCCAGGUAAUGCCAGCUGCUCCUUGGGCUCCUCCUGGGCUCUUGGUGCUCUGUGUGGGCUGGAGCAUUUCCACGUGCCUGCUCAGAGCAGCCCCUGGCCCAGGAGCCACGGUGCAGGCACAGCUCCUCCUGCAGAUCCCACAGACACGAGGGGCUGCUUGCCUUCAGGAGCUUCUGGCUCCUCCUGCCCUGCGCUCCCAGCCAGCUGGGACACCCUGAGGGAACACCAAGGAGCACAGCUGGCAGCGAGCAGGAGACACCGAGGCCUCUGGGCCCAGAAACAGCCCCGGCCUCAGCAGCCACCAUGGCUUUGGCCUGGCAGCGCUCACCUGCAGGAAACGCCCCUGCCACUCUCCAGAGGAACCCUCAGGAAUUGUCUGGUUCCCUUCUUCCUGGGGAAACAAAGGGACGUUGUGUGAGCACAUUUACAGCUGCUGGGUAAAUCCUGAGAAGGGCAGAAAAAUCAGGGUUAUGGGGAAGAGUUUGGUGCUGACAUGUUGAGUGCCAGCCAGUUCUGCCCUGCAGCCAUUGCAGGGGCUGGUGUGUAAAGCAGCAUUAGCAGAAGGGAAGGAGCUGCAUUUGCAGAGGAAGUCUCUUACUGGCAGCAGUCAUUCCCAUCCCAUGCAGGACCUUUGGAACAGCCCUGGGAUUGGCUCAGGUGCUGAGCAGGGUGCUGAGAGGACCAAAAUUCUGUGUUCGAUGUGCAGCUGGGCUGGUCACUUCUCAGCAUUUGACUUGGUGAUCCUCACGGCUCUGGAAAUAAAGAACAAACAG